rnacentral:rRNA from 1 species
CCUACGGGAGGCAGCAGUGGGGGAUAUUGCACAAUGGGGGAAACCCUGAUGCGGCGACGCCGCGUGGGUGAAGAAGUAUUUCGGUAUGUAAAGCCCUAUCAGCAGGGAAGAAAGAAGACGGUACCUGACUAAGAAGCCCCGGCUAACUACGUGCCAGCAGCCGCGGUAAUACGUAGGGGGCGAGCGUUAUCCGGAUUCACUGGGUGUAAAGGGAGCGUAGACGGCCGUGCAAGCCAGGAGUGAAAGCCCGGGGCCCAACCCCGGGACUGCUCUUGGAACUGUGCGGCUGGAGUGCGGGAGGGGCAGGCGGAAUUCCUGGUGUAGCGGUGAAAUGCGUAGAUAUCAGGAGGAACACCGGCGGCGAAGGCGGCCUGCUGGACCGCGACUGACGUUGAGGCUCGAAAGCGUGGGGAGCGAACAGGAUUAGAUACCCCAGUAGUC